ACGGGAGGCAGCAGUGGGGAAUAUUGCACAAUGGGGGAAACCCUGAUGCAGCGACGCCGCGUGAAGGAAGAAGUAUCUCGGUAUGUAAACUUCUAUCAGCAGGGAAGAUAAUGACGGUACCUGACUAAGAAGCCCCGGCUAACUACGUGCCAGCAGCCGCGGUAAUACGUAUGGAGCAAGCGUUAUCCGGAUUUACUGGGUGUAAAGGGAGCGUAGACGGCAAAGCAAGUCUGAAGUGAAAUCCCGGGGCUCAACCCCGGAACUGCUUUGGAAACUGUUUAGCUAGAGUGCAGGAGAGGUAAGCGGAAUUCCUAGUGUAGCGGUGAAAUGCGUAGAUAUUAGGAGGAACACCAGUGGCGAAGGCGGCUUACUGGACUGUAACUGACGUUGAGGCUCGGAAGCGUGGGGAGCAAACAGGAUUAGAUACCCUGGUA
rnacentral:rRNA from 1 species